rnacentral:rRNA from 1 species
GACGAACGCUGGCGGCGUGCUUAACACAUGCAAGUCGAACGGAAAGGCCCUUCGGGGUACUCGAGUGGCGGACGGGUGAGUAACACGUGGGAACCUGCCCUGGGGUCUGGGAUAGCUGCGGGAAACUGCAGGUAACACCGGAUAUACCCUUCGGGGGAAAAUUCAUGCCCUGGGAUGGGCCCGCGUCGGAUUAGGUAGUUGGUGGGGUAGUGGCCUACCAAGCCUGUGAUCCGUAGCCGGUCUGAGAGGAUGAUCGGCCACACUGGGACUGAGACACGGCCCAGACUCCUACGGGAGGCAGCAGUGGGGAAUCUUGGACAAUGGGGGCAACCCUGAUCCAGCGACGCCGCGUGGGUGAUGAAGGCCUUCGGGUCGUAAAGCCCUUUUGCCGGGGAAGAUGAUGACGGUACCCGGAGAAGAAGCACCGGUUAACUCUGUGCCAGCCGCCGCGGUAAAAC